GGGGGCGAAUGGCUUCGACCGGAUGUUGGAGAGGUAAGUUGCAUGCCCAGGAUGUCGGUUGGCCUGGCUAAUCAUCCGACAACUAUUUUUUACUUGGCAACUCACAGUUGCGCAUGGCUGCCUAAAUUGGUGGCCCGUCCUGCCUGACUUUGCCUGUGGGUUAGGUAAGGGCGUCAAACAGCAGGCUGGCUGAGCCGGUUUUUCGGGCCGGCAAGGCGAGAUCUCACCGAAAUAGCCGAGCCUGGCGCCUGUCGCUUGGCGCCUGGCAAGGCGACAAAACGAUCAAGCGAAUAAGCAUGUAGACGCUUAUCUUGAAGCAUCACGGGACGGGGGUUCGAAUCCCCCCGCCUCCAAAU
rnacentral:tmRNA from 1 species